rnacentral:rRNA from 1 species
UACGUAGGGUGCGAGCGUUGUCCGGAAUUACUGGGCGUAAAGAGCUCGUAGGUGGUUUGUCGCGUUGUCCGUGAAAACUCACAGCUUAACUGUGGGCGUGCGGGCGAUACGGGCAGACUGGAGUACUGCAGGGGAGACUGGAAUUCCUGGUGUAGCGGUGGAAUGCGCAGAUAUCAGGAGGAACACCGGUGGCGAAGGCGGGUCUCUGGGCAGUAACUGACGCUGAGGAGCGAAAGCGUGGGGAGUGAACAGG